AAUCCGUGUUGAGGCCAGUAUCGAAUCAAAUUUUUAUAUUUUCCCAUGUUUCAUAGAGUGAUUCAAAAUCAUUUUGCUUGAAUUGACCAAUCUCACUCCUGAGUUG